AGGUAGUGAAUGACAGGGUGACUCAGGCUAAGAAGUGACUAGGCAGCCCUAUGAUUGCUGAGUAGGUGGGAACCUACUAUAAAUAUGAUCAAAAUUUGUUUAGACACAAUUUGAAUGAAUGAUUAUGAAAAAAAAAAAAAAAAAAGCGGCACGUUGAAAUAAAAAUUUAAGAAAUAUCAGAAGAAUAGAAAAACAAAAGAUUUCGAGAGAAAUAUUAAAAUGUUUUUGCUGAUGUCUCGCUGCCGUAUAAGGUUAAAGGAAAUUGGCGUUGUUUGGGCGAGUUGGUAACGUAUGUGAAAAGGGUUGGGCGAAUAGUUAGACAGCCGUUGAUUUUUAAAUGAGAGACUCAGGGGUGAGGUGAAAUGAGAAUUCACAAUAGAAUAAAAAAUGGCUAUUGACAGUUGAAAAGAAAAAGGAAUGAAAAUUGAAAAUGGCUCAGGAAAAUGGUGUUUCGUGGAAAAUGAGCGUCUGGCGGGAUUCACUGAGAAGAGGGGUAUAAAAGGCUGCGAGCAUAAGAAAAGCCAAAGUUAAGAAUAAGACGUUACCGGUGAAACUUAGCUAGAGAGCAGUGCAGAAGUGGAAAAAUUUAAUUUGUGUGUUGCGAUUUUUUUUAUUGUGAAUAUUCCGGUGGUGUAUCAAGCUUUUUUGGAAGCACCGAAAAUUGUCCGGUUUUGGUCAGCACAACGGCGGGAAAUUGCCUUUUCUUUUUGGUAACGCAAGGUAGUGGCAAGUUGUCCACAGGAAAAAAAAAAGCCAAAAAAAGUUACAUUGAGGGUGUGGGGAUUUGAAUUGUAAACUGGCCAGCUGCAACUUUGAGCUUUUUGCUGUGCCGGUUAUUGAUCCCGCCCAGAACGCCGGCAUUGUAAAAGGACCAGUCAACAAGUCCAGCUUCAUUUGAGGGUUUGCCUGGCGUUCAAAAUCUGUUUCCUCCGGAAAGAAGCGUAAACUGGAAGGAGAGAUAAGAAGAAUUAAUCAAUAACGUUAUAAAUCACUGCUCAGGUAAAAGGUGUCGUACCGUUGUGUUGUCCUUGAUAUAUUUAUAUAUAUGUGACGUCCAUAAAAUUUGCUGUCUCCUUUUUUGGAACUAAAAGAAAAGAAAAAAAAAAGAGUUAAUAAUCAUAAAUUUCGAGAAAAAAAAAUAUAAUAUUCAGUAUAAAGAUUUAGUAAUAAGAUAGGUUAUAGUUCUUAGGAUUUAAGUAAUAAUCAGUUUGUAAGGGAAAAAUACCGCGUUUAUUUUCAAAGGCUAGGAGGUGUUACAGUAAAAUUAUCUUGAGUCCUUGUGAUUCGAUCUGAUAGUUUAGGCCGUGGAAUUUUAGCGGCAAUUAGGCCGGUUAAGAGAGCUCUUUUAGGUGGCUAGUAAUUUCGUAUAGACGCGGAAUAUUGCGCGGGAAAAGCAAGGCAAAGGAUAAUAUAUUGGUUUCUACCGAGUAAUUAAAGCCAUAGAUUUAAGAAAGCCCGGUAUUAUUCUUAAUUUGUUUUUUUUUAUACCAUACAGUUUGUCAAUUUUAGUGUAAGAAAAAAAAUAGUAGAGAAAAAAAUUAAGAAAAUAUUUAAAGCUAACUUAUUUUUUUUAAUAAAAUUAAAAAUGAUUCUUUUGUAAACAGUAGA